UACCAACCUUUCAUCGUUCCCU
rnacentral:siRNA from 1 species